CCUCCAUAUGCCGAGGGUGCAGCCCUAAAAAAGACCAAAAAAGAAAAAAGAAAGAAAAUCCUGCAAAAAUACACAUCUGUUGACAUAAUAGUUGAAAUUGCCAGGGUUUUGGAAAACCGGAGAGGAAUGCUGUCCGUCUUGGGGACCCCACUGCAGAGCACUGUCUCAUGGGUAAGAUGCAAACAUCCACCACCUUCAACCCCACCCCCGGCCCCAUGUCACCUUUGGAGCCCAGGUCAACUUCAGGGCAGUAGGCAGGGGUCCCUGGAACCUGGGAGGGGGUCAAUGUUUUGUGAGUUGAAUCCCAUUUCCAGCUCCCUGGGGGUGCUUGCUGUUGAGAAGGGAACGCUUCGAUGUGGUGAAUGGGGGCUCUCGCACUGCCCAUCGGCCCGCGCUGUGCUGUCGUGGUUUUUUUUGGCACAUCUGACUUUCGACGCCUGUGUCUGGAUCUGGGAAGAGUGUCCAUGAGGGAAAGGACUGGGCAGCUACAGGAGCUGCAAAGAUGUGGAGCCCCAACGCCUCAGGUCGAGGGAACCAGCUGGCUGCUCCGUGGAAGUGGACUUCUGCCUGUGACCCCAGGUGACCCCGCGUGAUGGUGUAGCAGAGCCUCGCCGUGCCCCUAGGCACCCCUCAUCUCUAGUCUCACCAUCGGGGCUGUUGCACAGGAAGCAGCUGCGCCUAUUUCUGAACAAGCCUUUGAGUAAAUACAUUUUCUUUACUCUUGGGAAUGGAAUGACGGGUCAGACGGCAGGAGGAUGCGCGACCUCUUAAGAAGCGAAGCAGGUGUUUUCCCAAGUGGCUGUGCCGUUUUCCAUUUCCACCAGCAGCAGCCGAGCGUUCCGGUUCCUCCACCCUCCACGUCCUCUCCGACAGCCACCCGGAAAGGCGUGCGGUACCGUCUCAUCAUGGCUUUCAUUUACUUGCAUGGCCCCAAUGGCUGAUGAUGGCAAGCAUCUGUCCCUGCACUUCUAUGCCACCUGCGGAUCUUCUUGGAUGACGUGUGUAUUCAAGUCUUUGGUCCAUUAAAAAAAGCUAGGUUAUUUGUCAU